UACGUAGGGUGCAAGCGUUGUCCGGAAUUAUUGGGCGUAAAGAGCUCGUAGGCGGUUUGUCGCGUCGGCUGUGAAAACCUGGGGCUCAACCCCGGGCCUGCAGCCGAUACGGGCAAACUAGAAUUCGGUAGGGGAGACUGGAAUUCCUGGUGUAGCGGUGAAAUGCGCAGAUAUCAGGAGGAACACCAAUGGCGAAGGCAGAUCUCUGGGCCGUAACUGACGCUGAGGAGCGAAAGCAUGGGGAGCGAACAGG
rnacentral:rRNA from 1 species